CUAAUUUCAGUAAAAAAUUUACUUUUCCCGAAUUCAAAAGAGCUAUUUUUUUGGGAUUUUUAUUGUGGCAUAAAUAUCUUGGACAGGAAGAUGGUAAUGAAACGUUAAUCGUUUUUGAAUAUAUCUGGUUCUCUUAGAAACUAAUUAAAUUAGGUUAAUAAUUUUUAAUUUACCAAUUUAGGGGGAUUUUAUAUUUAUUAGUUAAUAGUCUCGGGGAUGAGCUUGGGCCUAAAAUUUUAUAACUAAGGCUAUUUUUCAAAGUAUUUAGAAUUAGAAGUGUUCGGAUUUAAAAAGGUGUUAUAACUAGCUUUGUUUUUAGAAAGAUUUAAAUUUUGUUUAAAUUUUUUAUAAGAGAAUAAUUUGGAAUUUUUAAAAAUUAGUAAUAAUGAUUAGAUUAGUAUAUAUUUGUGUUUUCUGGGUUAGGCUUGUUAGGUAAGUUUAAGGAACUCGGCAAAAUAUUCUUUACCUGUUUAUUAAAAACAUGGCCUUUUGAUAAUUAUUUAAGGUCUGACCUGCCCACUGAUUGUUAAAGGGCCGCGGUACUUU
rnacentral:rRNA from 1 species